rnacentral:lncRNA from 1 species
UAUGCAUCUCUCUCUCUCUCUCUCUCUCUCUCUCUCUCUCUCGCUUGUUUCAAAAAUAUGCAUCCUCUCUCUCUCUCUCUCUUGUUUCAAAAAUAUGCAUCUCCUCUCUCUCUCUCUCCCUCUCUCUUACUUGUUUCUUAUAUACUCAACCCCUUGUUCCCCUUUGCCUCCCUAUAACUCACUCCCAUCACCACAAACUCUCAAAACUCAUCUCAAAAACCCAUCCUCAUCCAAAACCCAAAACCCAAAAUAUUACUCUUUUGUUCAUGGAAACCACGUUCUUAUUACUUUAUUUAGCUUUAGAUGACCCUCGGGAAGAAGAGAGCUGUCUUGAAAAAUUUCAAGAAUAUUUUGAAAAAAUAAAGAAUUUUUUUGAAAAGGAGCUUGCCCAUCGUUGGGAAGGAGCCAAGAAACUAAGGGAUUGUCACGUAUGCGUCAUAUUAUUUUUUUAUUUGUGAAAAAAUGAACUAUAUCUAAAAACUUUUUAAAAAAAAAAAUCUGAGAACAAUUUUUUUAUUCGUAAAAAAGAAAAUGCUGUCACGUAUGGAUUUAGAACAGUCAAUUAGUAUAUUUGUAUGGAUACCGACACGCGUGGACGGAGAUGAAUUUUGCAACUCUCUCCGCGCAAUAGUGGAGCUGCUUCUUAGCCGCCGCCGAUGGGAUCGUACGGCAUGUACCGUUUGGGUUCACUAACUCAAAAGUGAGAAGGCUCAGAGAGCAUGGAAAGUGUUAGAACU